rnacentral:rRNA from 1 species
CCUACGGGAGGCAGCAGUGAGGAAUAUUGGACAAUGGACGAGAGUCUGAACCAGCAACGUAGCGUGAAGGAUGACUGACCUCUGGGUUGUAAACUUCUUUUAUAUGGGAAUAAAAUGUUCCACGUGUGGGAUUUUGUAUGUACAAUAUGAAUAAGGAUCGGCUAACUCUGUGCCAGCAGCCGCGGUAAUACGGAGGAUCCGAGCGUUAUCCGGAUUUAUUGGGUUUAAAGGGAGCGUAGGUGGAUUUUUAAGUCAGUUGUGAAAGUUUGCGGCUCAACCGUAAAAUUGCAGUUGAAACUGGCAGUCUUGAGUACAGUAGAGGUGGGCGGAAUUCGUGGUGUAGCGGUGAAAUGCUUAGAUAUCACGAAGAACUCCGAUGGCGAAGGCAGCUCACUGGACUGCAACUGACACUGAGGCUCGAAAGUGUGGGUAGCAAACAGGAUUAGAUACCCUUGUAGUC